GGUCAAGCGAUUAAGCGCAUACGGUGGAUGCCUUGGCAGCCAGAGGCGAUGAAGGACGUGAUAGCCUGCGAUAAGCGUUGGCGAGGUGGCAAAUACCCUGCGACCCAACGAUUUCCGAAUGGGGAAACCCACUCACCAUCAGGUGAGUAUCUAUAGGCCAAUACAUAACCUAUAGAGGCAAACCCGGGGAACUGAAACAUCUAAGUACCCGGAGGAAAAGAAAUCAACCGAGAUUCCCCAAGUAGCGGCGAGCGAACGGGGACCAGCCCUUAAGCGUGACAACUGACAGACGAACAAGCUGGGAAGCUUGACGAUACAGGGUGAUAGUCCCGUAGUCGAAGUCUGAGUCACGUGAAAUCGAGUAGGUCGGGGCACGAGAAACCUUGACUGAACAUGGGGGGACCAUCCUCCAAGGCUAAAUACUCCUGGCUGACCGAUAGUGAACCAGUACCGUGAGGGAAAGGCGAAAAGAACCCCGGCGAGGGGAGUGAAAUAGAUCCUGAAACCGUAUGCGUACAAGCAGUGGGAGCACCUUCGUGGUGUGACCGCGUACCUUUUGUAUAAUGGGUCAGCGACUUAUAUUCUGUGGCGAGCUUAACCGUAUAGGGGAGGCGUAGGGAAACCGAGUCUUAACUGGGCGACCAGUCGCAGGGUAUAGACCCGAAACCGGGCGAUCUAUCCAUGGCCAGGGUGAAGAUUGAGUAACAUCAAUUGGAGGCCCGAACCCAAGUAUGUUGAAAAAUGCUGGGAUGAGCUGUGGAUCGGAGUGAAAGGCUAAUCAAGCCCGGAGAUAGCUGGUUCUCCUCGAAAGCUAUUUAGGUAGCGCCUCACGUAUCACCGCUGGGGGUAGAGCACUGUUUCGGCUAGGGGGUCAUCCCGACUUACCAACCCGAGGCAAACUCCGAAUACCAGUGAGUGCAGCGUGGGAGACACACAGCGGGUGCUAACGUCCGUUGUGAAAAGGGAAACAACCCAGACCGUCAGCUAAGGUCCCAAAAUCCUGAUUAAGUGGGAAACGAUGUGGGAAGGCUCAGACAGCUAGGAGGUUGGCUUAGAAGCAGCCAUCCUUUAAAGAAAGCGUAAUAGCUCACUAGUCGAGUCGGCCUGCGCGGAAGAUAUAACGGGGCUAAAUCAGGUACCGAAGCUACGGGUUCAUCCUCUGGAUGAGCGGUAGAGGAGCGUCGUGUAAGCCAAUGAAGGUGGAUUGAGAAGUCUGCUGGAGGUAUCACGAGUGCGAAUGCUGACAUGAGUAACGAUAAGGGGAGUGAAAAACUCCCCCGCCGGAAGACCAAGGUUUUCUGUUCUACGUUAAUCGGAGCAGAGUGAGUCGGCCCCUAAGGCGAGGCGGAAACGCGUAGUCGAUGGGAAACGGGUUAAUAUUCCCGUACCGGAUGUGGUUGCGAUGGGGGGACGAAGAAGGCUAGGUGAGCCAGGCGUUGGUUGUCCUGGUGAAAGCAUGUAGGCCGAGGAAUCAGGCAAAUCCGGUUCCUCUGAGGUCGAGAUGCGAGACGAACUGACCACGGUCAGGAAGUCAUCGAUGCCACGCUUCCAGGAAAAGCCUCUAAGCUUCAGAUCACAUGCGACCGUACCCCAAACCGACACAGGUGGUCAGGUAGAGAAUACCAAGGCGCUUGAGAGAACUCGGGUGAAGGAACUAGGCAAAAUGGCACCGUAACUUCGGGAGAAGGUGCACCGGUUCGAGUGAAGGACUUGCUCCGUAAGCUCYUACCGGUCGAAGAUACCAGGUGGCUGCAACUGUUUAUUAAAAACACAGCACUCUGCAAACGCGCAAGCGGACGUAUAGGGUGUGACGCCUGCCCGGUGCCGGAAGGUUAAUUGAUGGGGUUAGCUCACGCGAAGCUCUUGAUCGAAGCCCCGGUAAACGCUUGAAAUACCAGCCUGACAUCAUUGGCGUUCUAACUCAGGUCCGUUAUCCGGAUCGAGGACAGUGUAUGGUGGGUAGUUUGACUGGGGCGGUCUCCUCCUAAAGAGUAACGGAGGAGCACGAAGGUACCCUCAGCACGGUUGGAAAUCGUGCAUUGAGUGCAAGAGCAUAAGGGUGCUUGACUGCGAGACAGACACGUCGAGCAGGUACGAAAGUAGGUUCUAGUGAUCCGGUGGUUCUGUAUGGAAGGGCCAUCGCUCAACGGAUAAAAGGUACUCCGGGGAUAACAGGCUGAUACCGCCCAAGAGUUCACAUCGACGGCGGUGUUUGGCACCUCGAUGUCGGCUCAUCACAUCCUGGGGCUGAAGUCGGUCCCAAGGGUAUGGCUGUUCGCCAUUUAAAGUGGUACGCGAGCUGGGUUUAGAACGUCGUGAGACAGUUCGGUCCCUAUCUGCCGUGGGCGUCGGAAGUUUGAGAAGAGCUGCUCCUAGUACGAGAGGACCGGAGUGGACGAACCUCUGGUGUUCGGGUUGUCAUGCCAAUGGCAUUGCCCGGUAGCUACGUUCGGACGGGAUAACCGCUGAAAGCAUCUAAGCGGGAAGCCCCCUUCAAGAUGAGACUUCCCUGAGGCCUUGCGCCUCCUGAAGGGCCCUUGAAGACUACAAGGUUGAUAGGCUGGGUGUGGAAGCACAGCAAUGUGUUGAGCUAACCAGUACUAAUUGCCCGUGAGGCUUGACCAU
rnacentral:rRNA from 1 species